GAUGUCGACUUGGAGGUUGUGCCCUUGAGGCGUGGCUUCCGGAGCUAACGCGUUAAGUCGACCGCCUGGGGAGUACGGCCGCAAGGUUAAAACUCAAAUGAAUUGACGGGGGCCCGCACAAGCGGUGGAGCAUGUGGUUUAAUUCGAUGCAACGCGAAGAACCUUACCUGGUCUUGACAUCCACGGAAGUUUUCAGAGAUGAGAAUGUGCCUUCGGGAACCGUGAGACAGGUGCUGCAUGGCUGUCGUCAGCUCGUGUUGUGAAAUGUUGGGUUAAGUCCCGCAACGAGCGCAACCCUUAUCCUUUGUUGCCAGCGGUCCGGCCGGGAACUCAAAGGAGACUGCCAGUGAUAAACUGGAGGAAGGUGGGGAUGACGUCAAGUCAUCAUGGCCCUUACGACCAGGGCUACACACGUGCUACAAUGGCGCAUACAAAGAGAAGCGACCUCGCGAGAGCAAGCGGACCUCAUAAAGUGCGUCGUAGUCCGGAUUGGAGUCUGCAACUCGACUCCAUGAAGUCGGAAUCGCUAGUAAUCGUGGAUCAGAAUGCCACGGUGAAUACGUUCCCGGGCCUUGUACACACCGCCCGUCACACCAUGGGAGUGGGUUGCAAAAGAAGUAGGUAGCUUAACCUUCGGGAGGGCGCUUACCACUUUGUGAUUCAUGACUGGGGUGAAGUCGUAACAAGGUAACCGUAGGGGAACCUGCGGUUG
rnacentral:rRNA from 1 species